AUUGAACGCUGGCGGCAGGCCUAACACAUGCAAGUCGAGCGGAUGAAGGGAGCUUGCUCCUGGAUUCAGCGGCGGACGGGUGAGUAAUGCCUAGGAAUCUGCCUGGUAGUGGGGGAUAACGUCCGGAAACGGGCGCUAAUACCGCAUACGUCCUGAGGGAGAAAGUGGGGGAUCUUCGGACCUCACGCUAUCAGAUGAGCCUAGGUCGGAUUAGCUAGUUGGUGGGGUAAAGGCCUACCAAGGCGACGAUCCGUAACUGGUCUGAGAGGAUGAUCAGUCACACUGGAACUGAGACACGGUCCAGACUCCUACGGGAGGCAGCAGUGGGGAAUAUUGGAAAAUGGGCGAAAGCCUGAUCCAGCCAUGCCGCGUGUGUGAAGAAGGUCUUCGGAUUGUAAAGCACGUUAAGUUGGGAGGAAGGGCAGUAAGUUAAUACCUUGCUGUUUUGACGUUACCAACAGAAUAAGCACCGGCUAACUUCGU
rnacentral:rRNA from 1 species